UAAAAAAUGUAUAUAUAUAGUUUUCCUAAGUAAACUAAAAGUUCACCUCAGGAGAUGAAUGGAUGGUAAUCAGAGUGUUAAUCCAGAUAGAUUUUCCAAUGAAAACUGACUAGAGGCUAGGUAUGCAUUCCCUUGCUUGCAUCACUACAUUUUCUUUAUCUGACACAUACUUCCUCAGCCACUGAACCUCACAUAGUGGCACCCAGUGCAUUGCAGUUUUCCCUGUGACUCCCACCACAAGUCACGCUUGGCAUGUUUUUGUCUAACAACAGCAAGAACUUGCCAGGCAGCAUUAUUCUCCACCCUAUUUUGUACCUGGCGUAAUGAUGACAAAAAAAUAGGGGCGUGACAAGGCAAUUUAUAUAUACAUGUACAGCAAUAACUCCAAAGAUCGCACUCUGCUGCUGUGAAACGUGGAAUUAAGUUUUGGGACCAUUUAACAAUGGCUGCCAGGGGCCCUGUGAAAGAGCUUCAAGAUGGAUCACUAUGUCCACUCUGUGGAUGCUAUUUUGAUGAUCCAGUGACCACUGAAUGCGGUCACAGUUAUUGCAGGGGAUGCCUGGUAGCAAAAGCAGGGGGGAGAGCUUCCCCAGGAUUUCAGCUGAUCUGCCCUCAGUGUGGAAGGACAAUGGGCUGGAAAGCAGUGACCACUGAUGUCCGGCUGGGAGUGACCACCCGCAUUGCCCGCAGACUUAACCUCCAAGCUCCACCGCCUCGGAAACAGAAAGAGCAGGGGAGGUGAGCGGAUAAGUGUGGAGAAAGGGAGAGAGCACACACAAGGACUUCACUGAAGAAAAGGAAUUUACAGAUCAUCUCAAGCUUGUUAACCCCUGAUCUGCCAGAGCCUUGCAGUGUGAUGCUCAGUUAUGGACUUCAUAUGUGAAGAACAGGACAUCGGACUUCUGCAACCUCCAUAUACCCAAGAAACAGAAAAAUUUAGCACCAGAAUGAAAAGAGAACUAAUUAAUCUCUUAAGCAGAAGCAUCAACCCAGCUCAUAGCCUUUUGAUCAGCAUAAUCUUUCAAAACCAUAAAGUAUCAUAUUAGUUAAAGGAGAACUAAAGCUUAAAUGCUGCACAUAAGUUUUGAGCUUUUGCGCCAGCCCAGCUCACCCACAAACCCUUUAGCAGAUAAGACCUGCGCCUCUUAAAUUGCCCCCACUAACUGCACAUCUUCUUUUCUUCUGAUUCACUGCACAUGCUGAACUUCAGUUACUGAACGUAGGGGGCCAACACGCAAUAUACUGUAUAUAUAUAUAUAUAUAUAUAUAUAUAUACAGUAUGUGUGUGUGUGUCAUAAUAUAAGGCAGAUUAGUAAAUAAUUCAGAUAAUUCAGAUUCUCAUUACAUGGCAGGACUAAAACCAAUGCAAUUAACAUCAGAGUUUAAUAAUUAGCUCUGCAGCUUCAGCUAAUAUUGAUAAUUUGCAAUGGCAAAUAAGCUUAGCUUCUCAACAACUGCCCAGAGUACACUGAGCAUAUGAAUGUCACUAACAAAUCCAAGAUGGUGACCCCCUGUGAAAACGUUGAAGGCCUGAAUGAUUUCUAUUAUAGAGAUGAUGAACUUUUAGGCUGCUUCAAUAAGUCCAGCAUAUAAAAUAUGACAUUUCUACCCAUAUUCCUUUUUAGGGUUUAGUUCUCCUUUAAAAUUAAAUGUAAGCUAUUAAUAUAUACCCUUGACCUGCAUUUAAAGUUUACAGUUAUGGUUCGGCAGGCCUGUUUAAAACAGGGCAGUCAUUCUUUUUGGCAAUUCUACAUGCUCCUUAUUCUUUAACAAUAUUUAUAUCUUUCUAUAUUAUAAUGAUAUAUUUUUUUACUUGUUCUUGAAAAUAGACUUAUUUGUGUUGUUAUUGUCUUGUAAAGGUGUGUGUGUGAAUAUGUAUGUACAGCAGUUAUUUGGUACACUGCUUAGUAUCUGUAAUCCAAGAAUAAAUACUUUCUAAUAUGUAGUAUAAGUACCUGGCAAUCAUAUGAAACAUUCUUUUCCCUACAGAAACAUACAUGCCACAUAAAAUGAAUCUAAACCUAAAUUGCAGCUCAAAGCACCCUUUCAAUUACAGUUCUGGAAGUUGUAGUUAAACAUAUGAGGGUCGUGUGUUUGAUAUUCCUAAUUUAUAUUCCUGCAUGGCCCUGGGCUGUUCUUCUGUCUAUAAUGAAAAUGAGUUUAAGUACUUCCUUACAGUUAAUGACCUUGCUUCUCUUGUAUAAAAUUAAUUUAAAUCAACAUGAUGCUCUGUAAAAGGAUGAUGGAUGGACAGAAUAUAAACAAUAUCAGACCAUGCAUCAUAUUUUUCAUUUUCGGCUACUUAUAAUUGACAUUAUUUAUUAUUAUUAUUAUUAGUUUUAGUAUUAGUAUUAGUAUUAUUAUUACUGUAUAAAUAAUAGAUAAUAUUGUUAAAAUAGAAAAAUAUGCAGCAGAAACUGAUAACUAAGAACAGGGAUGAUGAACAGCUCACAUGUUACUAUAGAUAAUAAUAAUCCUGAAUAUAGUUCCUGCUUAGCUGCAUUUUUAUGGUUCUUUGCCCUGCAGGUGAAAUACAGAACCUGAAAAACAGUCAGUGGAAUGCAAACAGCCAGACCUAUUAUAUGUAUAAAAAUCCGUCAAUAUCCUCCCAUGUGUAA